CCAUUAUCUCGUAAACUUACAUGAUCGUUCCUGCCUGUCGCUUAGUCACGCAUUUUCAAGGAACCAUCUCUCACAAUGCUCUCAGCCAACAAAUUCAUUUUGAAAAACAGAAGUCUUGAUAGAUUUCAUUCGGCAUCAUCUGAAGCAGAUUGUCUGCACAGAUACAAUAUGUCACCAAACAAGCCCUCCUCUCGGACGAGUGGUUCUGGACCUAGCCGUAAUGACGGCGGUGGAGGCGAGGAGUAGACCCGCUGGCUAAACCUUCUACAUGCACCGGUCCGGAGAUCCAGCUAUGUCGUUUAUCGAGACCAACUUGUAGCUGUAGCGACGGACAGACGGUCAGACGGAAAGAAGGGGGAAUAGCCAGCAAGAUGUCUACAAUUUGUUACUUAAACUACUGUUUUAAAGUAACAUUACACCUCAUAGACGCUGAAUUUGUAUUUAAUAUUUAUAAUUAUUUAAUAUGCUAUACGCAUUAGCAUUGUUAAAGCGGUCCUAAUAAAUACAUUACGGAACAAAUUGUGCAGCGCUUUUUACCUGCAAGGGUUUAUUAUAUGCGCUUUACCAGAUACCCUUUGGAGUUUAUAACGCAUUUUGGUAUGCUUUACAUUCCUGCUUCUUUUUUCAAUUAAUAAUAUACUGAUGAGAAUUAUUGUAUUGCUUCGUAAAAAUCAAAGUAUUUACUGUUGACUCUAUAAUUGAUGUAAGUUUAUUUCUGGCUUCAUUUUGACGGUAGCCCUAUGCGACUACCCGCUCUUCGCCAGCUAAUUUAGUGGACCUCUUUGAAAACCAACUUUUGUCAAAAGGGCUCAUCAACCCAAUUUAUGUUGUAAAUGAAUAAUUGAAUAAACACUACUUUAAUUCUUUUGAAGAGGGUAUAUUCAUUAUACUAAAAGACGUGGGUAUUAAUGCAUAUAACAUCGGAUACAAAGUCGAAUUGAUAAAUGUUAUAAUUUUUUUCGCAAUUAUGUUAAAGAUACUAACAAGGAGCUGGAACUACAAUACCAUGAUACAACGAAUUUGUAAACAUGUGAAGUGCGACUAAAAAGGCCUCGAAAAAAAUUGGA